GGAAAGUGGGAUUGAUAUCGUAGUGGGAGCUCUGUCUCCCUUUCUCAGUGAGAAAAGAAUUUAUCUUUUCUCUCUUCGUAGUUCCUUCUUUUGGUUAUUUUGAGGCUAUCCCCUCUUCUUAGGGGUAGGGGUGCCUCUUUCCAUUUUGGGGGGAUGGAUUCUCCUCUCCUCCUAAUUUUGGUUUUAUAUAGUUUUGUAGUGCUGUAGUUGUUGUGGGUUGCAGAUCUUGAGCUUGAUGGUGAGAGAUUUAUGCAGAUCUACUUGGUUUCCAGUUCAAGAACUCUUAGAGGUUUACUAGUUGAAUGUCCACACAAGGGCUGUCGGUACCUCUUGAAGGUCGAUCUAGUCCUUGGACUACAAAAGAAUGAGAAGCCCGUUUUUGCCAUUCCAUAUCCCGGUGUUUAUUCGGCCCCUACAUGGAUUUGGUUCUUCUUUGACGGUUGAUGUCUUUCCUAUUUCAUAUGAGUUCAUGGGUUGAUGUGUUUUGUUUGAGAAAUCCGCUUAUCUCUAGGUUGAAAGAUUUCGCUUUGCUUGUUAUUGGAGCUCUCAGUUGUGCGUUUACAGUAUUUGUCGUCUCUCCUUGGACGAUGGUUAAGAAGGCAACAGUGGAGAUUUUUUUGUUCCAUUGUUUCUGUAAAAUAUUUAGUUUUUUGGGUAACCACUCAGGUACCCUAGGGUUUAGUUUCAGGCUUUUGGCUUUUAAGUCUUGGGCAUGGGAGUUGGUUUUAGUUAGCUGUCUCUUGUUGUAGUUGGGCUUAAUCUUUGCAGUUUCAAUCUUUCAUCUAUAAAAUCAUAUUUCGG
rnacentral:misc_RNA from 1 species